rnacentral:rRNA from 1 species
AUGGCCAACCCCUGUGAGCUGCCGGAGGAGAGCAGCGAUGCAGGGGAGGUGCUGGGGUAUGUCAAGGUCAUGACGAACGACCAAAUGGAGGCGCUCCAGAAACAGAUCUCCAUCUAUGCCACCAUCUGCGAGCAGCUCGUCGAGAUGCACUGCGUCUUCACCCAGCACCAGUGUAGAAGUGCAUGCUCUAGCCAAUGCAACCAAAAAACCGAUCUGAUGAAAGAGACUAGGCAGCACAUUAUACGUCAACACUCCCUCUCACGUGUGGCUCCCAGGCCUAAACGUGGACCGAAAGGGGGCUGCAAUUUAAUUGCGCCAGCCGGGUCUUGA